rnacentral:rRNA from 1 species
UGUUGCUUGCAAGGGCGUAUGGUGGAUGCCUUGGCAGACAGGACCGAUGAAGGACGUUUGAGGCUGCGAUAUGCCUCGGGGAGCCGCCAGCAGGGCUUUGAUCCGAGGAUUUCCGAAUGGGGCAACCCGCCGGCCGUCAUGGGCCGGCACGGAACCUUGUUGUUCCGGGGGUACGCAGGGAAGUGAAACAUCUCAGUACCUGCAGGAAGGGAUACUCCGUGAGUAGUGGCGAGCGAAAGCGGAUCAGACCAAACCAUGGGCGCGUGAUACCCGUCGGGGGUUGCGUUCGUGGUGUUGAGGGAGCGUGUGUCCCGGUUCCGACGGACCGGGCGGGAGUCAUAAAACGGCUUGCCAGGGGAACAGGCUUGAAGGCCUGGCCGCAGAGGGUGCCAGCCCCGUACCUGGAAGCUUGCCGUCUUCCGAUCAUGUGUCCCAAGUAGCGCGGGCCUCGUGGAAUCCCGUGUGAAUCGGCCCCGACCGUGGGGUAAGUCUAAGCAUACCUGUCUGACCGAUAGCGUACCAGUACCGUGAGGGAAAGGUGAAAAGCACCCCGGGAGGGGAGUGAAAGAGUUCCUGAAACCGUGCGCCUACAAUCCGUCGGAGCCUCCUUGUGGGGUGACGGCGUGCCUAUCGAAAAAUGAGUCUGCGAGUCAGUGGUGCGUGGCGAGGCUAACCCGUGGUGGGGGAGCCGUAGCGAAGGCGAGUCUCAAAAGGCGUUUUGAGUCGCGCGCCCUGGACCCGAAGCGGGAUGAUCUAGCCCUGGGCAGGUUGAAGCGCGGGUAAGACCGCGUGGAGGACCGAACCCACCUGGGUUGAAAACCGGGGGGAUGACUUGGGGCUAGGGGUGAAAGGCCAAUCAAAUUCCGUGAUAGCUGGUUCUCUCCGAAAUGCAUUUAGGUGCAGCGUCGGUUGAUUGCAUCGCGGGGGUAGAGCUACUGGAUGCUUGCGGGCCCGUGUCGGGUACCAAUAGCAGCCAAACUCCGAAUACCGUGGAUGUGUAUUCCGGCAGUGAGUCGGCGGGGGAUAAGCUCCGUCGUCGAGAGGGAGACAGCCCAGAUCGUCGUCUAAGGUCCCGAAGCGUGUGCUAAGUGGGAAAGGAUGUGGAGUCGCAUAGACAGCCAGGAGGUUGGCUCAGAAGCAGCCAUCCUUGAAAGAGUGCGUAACAGCUCACUGGUCUAGUGGUUCCGCGCCGACAAUGUAGCGGGGCUCAAGCACACCACCGAAGACGCGGCAGCGGCCUUUGCGGCCGUUGGGUAGGAGAGCGUCCCGCGUGGGGCGAAGCGGCCGGGGAACCGUGCCGUGGACCGCGCGGGAGUGAGAAUGCAGACAUGAGUAGCGAGAGACGGGUGAGGAUCCCGUCCGCUGGAUGACCAAGGGUUCCGGGGCCACGUUCGUCGUCCCCGGGUGAGUCGGGUCCUAAGGCGAGGCCGACAGGCGUAGUCGAAUGGAUGAACGGGUGGAUAUUCCCGUACCGGCGGCGUACCGUAAGAGCCGAACGGAUGAGUACUAACCUCCGGUCGCGUGGCGUCGUUCCCUUCGGGGUUCGGGGCGCGUGGCUGUUGGGAGCGUAGUCCCGGUAGGCUAGCGCACAGGGGUGACACGGAAUGGGAGCCGGCCGCGGAGGUGGUUUUCCGUGGUCAAGCACGCAGCCCGUCCCAUAGGCAAAUCCGUGGGACGCAUAGGGUGAGGUGUGAUGAUGGGCGCCUUUUUGGCGCGAUAUCCGGUGGUCCAGGCCGUCGAGAAAAGCCUCGGCGCGAGGGGCGUCGCCGCCCGUACCCCAAACCGACACUGGUGGUCAGGUAGAGAAUACCAAGGCGAUCGAGCGAAUCCUGGUCAAGGAACUCGGCAAAUCACUCCCGUGCCUUCGGUAUAAGGGAGACCCCCGGGCGUGAAGAGGCUUGCCCUCGGAGCGUUGGGGGGUGGCACAGACCAGGGGGUAGCGACUGUUUACCAAAAACACAGGUGCAUGCGAAGGCGCAAGCCGCUGUAUAUGCACUGACGCCUGCCCGGUGCCGGAAGGUUAAGAGGAUCCGUCAGCCCCUUUUGGGGUGAAGCGGUGAAUUCAAGCCCCGGUAAACGGCGGUGGUAACUAUAACCAUCCUAAGGUAGCGAAAUUCCUUGUCGGGUAAGUUCC